rnacentral:rRNA from 1 species
CGGAGAUAGCUGGUUCUCCCCGAAAUAGCUUUAGGGCUAGCGUUAUGUUAGAUUACCGGAGGUAAAGCACUGAAUGGGCUAGGGGCUGAUAAAGUUACUGAACCCUAUCAAACUCAGAAUGCCGGAUAAUUGAUGCAUAGCAGUCAGUCUACGUGAGAUAAGUCUCGUGGACAAAAGGGAAACAGCCCAGACCCACAGCUAAGGUCCCAAAUAGAUGCUAAGUGGAAAACGAUGUGAGAUUGCCCAGACAACCAGGAUGUUGGCUUAGAAGCAGCCACACAUUAAAAGAGUGCGUAAUAGCUCACUGGUCGAGUGGUCUUGCGCGGAAAAUAUAACGGGGCUAAGCAUCUAACCGAAGCUUGGGCUUGUCGUGAGACAGGGGUAGGGGAGCGUCGAAUACGGGGUGAAGUCAGAGCGAGAGCACUGGUGGACUGUAUUCGAGUGAGAAUGCCGGAAUGAGUAGCGAGAAUUAUGUGGGAAUCAUAAUGGCCGAAAAUCUAAGGAUUCCUGGGGAAGGUUCGUCCGCCCAGGGUUAGCCGGGAGCUAAGGCGAGGCCGCAAGGCGUAGUCGAUGCACAUACGGUUGAAAUUCCGUAGCCACCUUAUCGAUGAAAAGCUGACACUUGGGGAUAGCGGAACCCGGAGAUUGGUAGAUCCGGGCGUAAGGGACCGAACACGAGUAGGGAAGUCCGCGAUGCUCUGAGGCGAGAAAAGGCGAAGGUAGGGUGCCCGUACCGCAAACCGACACAGGUAGAUGAGGAGAGAAUCCUAAGGCCAACGGGAGAAGGGUUGUUAAGGAACUCGGCAAAAUGACCCCGUAACUUCGGGAUAAGGGGAGCCUGCGUAAGCAGGCCGCAGAGAAUAGGCCCAAGCGACUGUUUACCAAAAACACAGGUCUAUGCUAAAUCGAAAGAUGACGUAUAUGGGCUGACGCCUGCCCGGUGCUGGAAGGUUAAGAGGAGAUGUCAGGCAACGAAGCAUUGAAUCGAAGCCCCAGUAAACGGCGGCCGUAACUAUAACGGUCCUAAGGUAGCGAAAUUCCUUGUCAGGUAAGUUCUGACCCGCACGAAUGGCGUAACGAUUUGGGCGCUGUCUCAACAGCCCACCCGGCGAAAUUGUUGUACUGGUGAAGAAGCCAGUUACCCGCAACUAGACGGAAAGACCCCAUGGAGCUUUACUGCAGCUUAAUACUGGAAUUCGGUAAUUCAUGUACAGGAUAGGUGGGAGACAUGGAAACCUGGUCGUCAGGUCAGGUGGAGUCGCCCUUGGGAUACCACUCUUGGAUUGCUGGGUUUCUAACCUGCGGCCGUGAAUCCGGUCGGGGGACACUGUUAGGCAGACAGUUUGACUGGGGCGGUCGCCUCCUAAAAGGUAACGGAGGCGCUCAAAGGUUGGCUCAGCACGGACGGAAAUCGUGCAGUGAGUGUAAACGUAUAAGCCAGCCUAACUGCGAGAGUGACGGCUCGAGCAGUAACGAAAGUUGGAGUUAGUGAUCCGGUGGUAUGUGAGUGGAAAUGCCAUCGCUCAACGGAUAAAAGCUACCCUGGGGAUAACAGGCUGAUCUCCCCCAAGCGUCCACAGCGACGGGGAGGUUUGGCACCUCGAUGUCGGCUCGUCACAUCCUGGGGCUGUACUCGGUCCCAAGGGUUCGGCUGUUCGCCGAUUAAAGUGGCACGCGAGCUGGGUUCAGAACGUCGUGAGACAGUUCGGUCCCUAUCUGUUGCGGGCGUAAGAGAUUUGAAGGG